AGUGGUAUUGCUAGGUCAUAUGGUAACUCAAUAUUAACUUUCUGAGGAACUCCCAAAUUGUUUCAAAAGCAGAGCAACAUUUUAUAUUCCCACCAGCAAU
rnacentral:pre_miRNA from 1 species